rnacentral:rRNA from 1 species
AGUGAACGCUGGCGGCGUGCUUAACACAUGCAAGUCGAACGAGAACGGGUUAUAGCUUGCUAUAAUUGUCAACUAAGUGGCGCACGGGUGAGUAAUGUAUAGGUAAUAUGCCUCUUACUAAGGGAUAACAAAUGGAAACGUUUGCUAAUACCUUAUACUCCUUAUUAACAGAAGUUAAUAAGGGAAAGAUUUAUUGGUAAGAGAUUAGCCUGUAUUGUAUCAGUUAGUUGGUGGGGUAAUGGCUUACCAAGACUAUGACACAUAACUGGUUUGAGAGGAUGAUCAGUCACACUGGAACUGAGACACGGUCCAGACUCCUACGGGAGGCAGCAGUGGGGAAUAUUGCUCAAUGGACGAAAGUCUGAUGCAGCAACGCCGCGUGGAGGAUGACACAUUUCGGUGCGUAAACUCCUUUUAUAUGAGAAGAUAAUGACGGUAUUAUAUGAAUAAGCACCGGCUAACUCCGUGCCAGCAGCCGCGGUAAGAC